UACGGAGGGUGCAAGCGUUAUCCGGAAUUAUUGGGCGUAAAGAGCUCGUAGGCGGUUUGUCGCGUCUGCUGUGAAAACCCGAGGCUCAACCUCGGGCCUGCAGUGGGUACGGGCAGACUAGAGUGCGGUAGGGGAGAUUGGAAUUCCUGGUGUAGCGGUGGAAUGCGCAGAUAUCAGGAGGAACACCGGUGGCGAAGGCGGGAUCCUGGGCCAGUACUGACGCUGAGGAGCGAAAGCGUGGGGAGCAACAGG
rnacentral:rRNA from 1 species